AUGAUGGACUAUAGGACAGGACUGCUGCUUUUAACUGUCUGCUGGGCAGGUGUUGAUGGUCAGACUCUGACAGAAUCUGAACCAGUGGUUAAAAGGCCUGGAGAAUCCCACAGAUUGACCUGUACAGCCUCUGGAUUCACAUUUAGUGACUACUGGAUGCACUGGGUCAGACAGGCUCCUGGAAAAGGACUGGAGUGGAUCGCUUAUAUCAGUAGCGGUGGUGGUAGCAGCAAACACUACUCUCAGUCAGUCCAAGGCCGGUUUACCAUCUCCAGAGACAACAGCAGACAGCAGCUGUAUCUGCAGAUGAACAGUCUGAAGACUGAAGAUUCUGCUGUUUAUUAUUGUGCUCGAGACUCACAGUGACUGGAG